rnacentral:rRNA from 1 species
UAGGGAAUAUUGCACAAUGGAGGAAACUCUGAUGCAGCGAUGCCGCGUGAGCGAUGAAGGCCUUCGGUGUUGUAAAGCUCUGUGAUAGGGGAAGAUGAUGACGGUACCCUAUUAGAAAGGACCGGCUAACUUCGUGCCAGCAGCCGCGGUAAUACGAGGGGUCCAAGCGUUGUUCGGAAUUACUGGGCGUAAAGCGGGUGUAGGUGGUCAUACCAGUCAGAUGUGAAAGCCCCAGGCUUAACCUGGGAAGUGCAUCCGAUACUGUAUGGCUUGAGUAUUAAAGGGGGAAGUGGAAUUCCUGGUGUAGCGGUGAAAUGUGUAGAUAUCAGGAGGAACAUCGGUGGCGAAGGCGACUUCCUGGCUAUAUACUGACACUCAGACCCGAAAGCGUGGGGAGCAAACAGG